UGACAUUGCAAAAACUUGCAUUGUUUGGUUUGGACAUGAUUUUAAUUCAGCAAUCAACUGUCUUGGGGAGCGGUUUACUCAGUACAGCAAAGGAAGGAGAUAUAGAUCCAAUAACCAAAUAUGGCUGAGAGAGAGACAGCACAAGCAAGGGGAACAGCAGGCAGAGGAGAAGCAAGCUCUUCACUGACAAGGAGUCUGAUACAGGACUCCAAGCCAGGA